rnacentral:rRNA from 1 species
AUUGAACGCUGGCGGCAGGCUUAACACAUGCAAGUCGAGCGGGGUGAUGGUGCUUGCACUAUCACUUAGCGGCGGACGGGUGAGUAAUGCUUAGGAAUCUGCCUAUUAGUGGGGGACAACAUCUCGAAGGGGAUGCUAAUACCGCAUACGUCCUACGGGAGAAAGCAGGGGAUCACUUGUGACCUUGCGCUAAUAGAUGAGCCUAAGUCGGAUUAGCUAGUUGGUGGGGUAAAGGCCUACCAAGGCGACGAUCUGUAGCGGGUCUGAGAGGAUGAUCCGCCAUACUGGGACUGAGACACGGCCCAGACUCCUACGGGAGGCAGCAGUGGGGAAUAUUGGACAAUGGGGGGAACCCUGAUCCAGCCAUGCCGCGUGUGUGAAGAAGGCCUUAUGGUUGUAAAGCACUUUAAGCGAGGAGGAGGCUCUUUUGGUUAAUACCCAAGAUGAGUGGACGUUACUCGCAGAAUAAGCACCGGCUAACUCUGUGCCAGCAGCCGCAGUAA